rnacentral:tRNA from 1 species
GGGGUUGUGGCUCAGUGGCAGAGCAUUCGCCUCACGUGCGAGGCCCUGGAUUUGAUCCUCAGCACCACA